UACGUAGGGUGCAAGCGUUGUCCGGAAUUAUUGGGCGUAAAGAGCUCGUAGGCGGUCUGUCGCGUCGAAUGUGAAAACCCGGGACUCAACUCCGGGCCUGCAUUCGAUACGGGCAGACUAGAGUUCGGUAGGGGAGACUGGAAUUCCUGGUGUAGCGGUGAAAUGCGCAGAUAUCAGGAGGAACACCGGUGGCGAAGGCGGAUCUCUGGGCCAUUACUGACGCUGAGGAGCGAAAGCGUGGGGAGCGAACAGG
rnacentral:rRNA from 1 species